rnacentral:rRNA from 1 species
AUUGAACGCUGGCGGCAUGCCUUACACAUGCAAGUCGAACGGUAACAGGUCUUCGGAUGCUGACGAGUGGCGAACGGGUGAGUAAUACAUCGGAACGUACCCGAUCGUGGGGGAUAACGAAGCGAAAGCUUUGCUAAUACCGCAUAAGAUCUACGGAUGAAAGCAGGGGACCGCAAGGCCCUGCGCGAACGGAGCGGCCGAUGGCAGAUUAGGUAGUUGGUGGGAUAAAAGCUUACCAAGCCGACGAUCUGUAGCUGGUCUGAGAGGACGACCAGCCACACUGGGACUGAGACACGGCCCAGACUCCUACGGGAGGCAGCAGUGGGGAAUUUUGGACAAUGGGCGAAAGCCUGAUCCAGCCAUGCCGCGUGCAGGAUGAAGGCCUUCGGGUUGUAAACUGCUUUUGUACGGAACGAAAAGACUCUUUCUAAUAAAGAGGGUCCAUGACGGUACCGUAAGAAUAAGCACCGGCUAACUACGUGCCAGCCGCCGCAGUAA